GUCCGCGCAGCUCGUCCGGCCCGCCCGCAGGCCAGCUUCUCUCGGGAGCCUCCACCCAGGCGCAUGGCUCCAUGAAGCAAGAGGAGGAGGCAGAGCGCGAGAGAUCCCGUCCGCCCCAGCCGCGUCUGGGCCAGGAGAAAAGCAAAACCAUAUUCCUGCUGCUGUCAGUUUUGAUGCACUGAGAAAACUUCAGAGACCUAAGCUUUUUCCAGAGAAGAGAAGCUUUACUGGUGUUCCAGCCCUAAGGCUCAUAUGACAUUAACAGACAAGACACUUUUCAGAAAGACAGACAGCUCUUCAAUCUUCAAGGGAACUGUGGAAGUAAACCAGGGGUGACAUGGAUUAUCAAAUAUUGUGGAUCAGGUGAGCUCUAGGCUUCUCAAUGCAAGGUUGUUCUUUUGGGCCACAUCUAAGAAAUCUUUGUCUAGCCAAAAGCCACAAAUAAUUUCUCAUUUUUUGGCUUCUGGAAGAUGUACAGUUAAAUGUUAUAUUUGGGACUGUUAUCUAAUUUGAUUAAAUUGCACUCUACAAUAUGAUAUUUGAAUUGAUGAAAAAUUAGUAAAUGUUAAUAUUUUUUAAAGUAGC
rnacentral:lncRNA from 1 species